GAUGAACGCUGGCGGCGUGCCUAAUACAUGCAAGUCGAGCGAACAGACGAGGAGCUUGCUCCUCUGACGUUAGCGGCGGACGGGUGAGUAACACGUGGAUAACCUACCUAUAAGACUGGGGUAACUUCGGGAAACCGGAGCUAAUACCGGAUAAUAUAUUGAACCGCAUGGUUCAAUAGUGAAAGACGGUUUUGCUGUCACUUAUAGAUGGAUCCGCGCCGCAUUAGCUAGUUGGUAAGGUAACGGCUUACCAAGGCAACGAUGCGUAGCCGACCUGAGAGGGUGAUCGGCCACACUGGAACUGAGACACGGUCCAGACUCCUACGGGAGGCAGCAGUAGGGAAUCUUCCACAAUGGGCGAAAGCCUGACGGAGCAACGCCGCGUGAGUGAUGAAGGUCUUCGGAUCGUAAAACUCUGUUAUUAGGGAAGAACAAAUGUGUAAGUAACUAUGCACGUCUUGACGGUACCUAAUCAGAAAGCCACGGCUAACUACGUG
rnacentral:rRNA from 1 species